rnacentral:lncRNA from 1 species
ACCUCCCCUCCGUUCCUUCCCCUCUCCCCUCGGUAUGGAUUUGCUGGCUAAAGACCGUUAGGAGCGGGCAGAAUGAAUGCAAUUGAAUGGGGGGAUGCGUUUCAAAGGGCCCACCUCCUUUCUUAAGGGGCUGAGGGGCCGGGAUUGUCGAAGGCGCUGGAGAACAUUUCGACGGACGGAGCCCUUCCCGGCGGUGUAGCGACGGGGCCUCUGAUAAUCAAAGGAGGCGCGAGUGCAGAGGCUGUUUGGGGGGCCUCGGGAGGCAUUUGGAGAGAAGCAGAGCGAAGGAAAUAAGAUGCAGACGUCCUCCAUCAAAUGGCGCCCUCUGCAGGCCACACUCUUCUCCAGAAAAAGCCGAGCUUAGAAUAUACACCAGAAUCACAGAUCUUUAAAUCUUCAGCCUGGUCAAUCAAAUGAGUUCAGAUUAAAGGGUUUUGAGGGUGAGUAUAAAUGGUGUUGGAGAAGACUCCUGAAAGUUCCUUGGACUACAAGAAGAUCAAAUCAGUCAGUACAAAAGGAAAUUCAACCCUGACUGUUCAUUGGAAGGACCAAUCGUGAAGCUGAAGCUCAAGUACUUUGUCCAGAUAAUAAGAAGACAAGACUCAUUGGAAAAGACCCUGAUUGCUGAGAAAUGCUGGAGGCAAAAGGAGAAGGGGACGGCAGAGGAUAAGAUGGACAGAUAAUAUAAUGGAAGCAACGAACAUGAGCUUGUGCAAACUUCAGGAGGCAGUAGAGGACAGAAGGACCUGGCGUGGCUGUGGUCCAUGAGCUCACAAAGAGUCGGAUACAAUUGAACGCCUGAAAAGCAACAAUAGGGAGAAAGUUCAAGCAGAAGAUUAGACCAAGGAGAGAAGACACUAAGAACAUUCCAGGCUGGCUUUUAUGGUUUCUCAGAUUUUGUGUAUGCCUAGAGAAAAAGCACAUUACUGUUUCAAUAGAUUAAAUUACUUCUUCUAAUACUUUAUUUUGACAAAAGAGAAGAGCCCUUCCUUCCUUCCUUCCUUCCUUCCUUCCUUCCUUCCUUCCUUCCUUCCUUCCUUCCAGAAACUCUCCCACUGAACUGACUGUAUCAAAGAGUAAAGUCUCCAGUCAUUUUGCUGGCACAUAGCCAUUCCUUUUGAAUUCAAAGAACAUUGAAGAUGAAGAUACGAUCCCCACUUACUUAGCUUGUUUUGAAUGGCAUAGGAGGCACUCUGUUGAUCAGUAGCAGCCAGUGUGGAUGAGUGCAGCCAGAAGCCUCUCCCCCUGCUGAAAACCGGUUCAUGAGCUUCCUUUGGUGCUGUGUGGAUUUCAACAAGCAUUCAGCAGAGGGAAGGGCUUGUGGCUGCCACUGCCAUUAGUGCAUGUGAUUCCAAACAUUCUCCAUCAUCCUGAGUAGUUACUGGUAAGGGA